UACGGAGGGUGCAAGCGUUAAUCGGAAUUACUGGGCGUAAAGCGUGCGCAGGCGGUUUGUUAAGUCCGUUGUGAAAGCCCCGAGCUCAACUUGGGAAUUGCAGUGGAUACUGGCAGGCUGGAGUACGGUAGAGGAAGAUGGAAUUCCCGGUGUAGCAGUGAAAUGCGUAGAUAUCGAGAGGAACACCAGUGGCGAAGGCGAGUCCCUGGACAACACCUGACACUGAGGCACGAAAGCUAGGGGAGCAAACAGG
rnacentral:rRNA from 1 species